UACGUAGGGGGCUAGCGUUGUCCGGAAUCAUUGGGCGUAAAGCGCGUGUAGGCGGCCCGGUAAGUCCGCUGUGAAAGUCCAGGGCUCAACCCUGGGAUGCCGGUGGAUACUGUCGAGCUCGAGUCCGGAAGAGGCGAGUGGAAUUCCUGGUGUAGCGGUGAAAUGCGCAGAUAUCAGGAGGAACACCAAUGGCGAAGGCAGCUCGCUGGGACGUGACUGACGCUGAGACGCGAAAGCGUGGGGAGCAAACAGG
rnacentral:rRNA from 1 species